rnacentral:lncRNA from 1 species
AUGCUACCAUCACCAUCUACUUCGCUCGACGAUACUAGAGGCGGUGCACUCCAGAAACUACCGCCUAGGCAAGUACCUAGUAGCAGACUCAGAGAACAACAACCUCCGUCAAAGAAAAAAAGGAACCUCCAAAACCGCACUAUGCUUAAUCGAACCAGUCGAAAACAAACCCCACCACAUUCGAUUUCGGAGCCACAACGACCGCUACCUAACCGCCACAGACACGCCGUUUCUCCUCGGCAUGAUCGGAGACAAAGUCAUUCAAGCCUAAUACGACAAAGGUUUAAGCUGGAAAUACGAAUGGGAGCCGAUAAAGGAAGGGUACAACAUGAAACUUAG